CGCACAACCACCCCAGUAGCUUGAUAAGGAGAAUUAGAAAACCUGCGCUCUUUGAAAAAGAGGUUGGGGCUUGAUUCAAUAGAGGGAAGUAUCGGGAGUUCUAAGGGAGAAGUUGCGUUGAAAUGUUUAGCUUGCUCUCCCUCCUCCUUUUCCUCUUUUUCUUAUUCUAAGGAGAAAUGAGAUCCGUCCUAAAGGAAGAUGCUUUCUAGAUAGUUCAAACUGUUGUGUUUCUGUUCUCCGAAAUUACUAUUGUAUGUUCUUUCUUGCCAGAAUUUUAAGCAAAGGUGUCUGGCAUCACUCUUAGGAUCAUUGAAGCUACUGAACUACCAGAUAAAUGUAAUCAACCCCUGAGAGGACUUAACUCCUGAGAUUAAUUCUUACAUCCUCCUAUUGCUGCAAUUGUAAAUUUUUCUUCUCAGAAUGUUGAAAGGCUAGAAGCUUAUCAUGAAGAAUCUUCAUUGAAAAUUGCUUGCAAUAAAGAAGAAACAAACAAGCCAGAAGAGAAAUCUAACAAUCUUGGGACUCUUGUGCAGACCUCUCCUCCAAAUAUGGCCAAGGAUAUAAAAACAGAGACUUUUGAAGACAAAACAGAUAUGGUCCGCGGUUGGUAUGUGGUCCAUGGAAUGGUGCUUUACUGUCCAGCAUCCAGCUGGGUUCCUCUGUUGCAUCACAGAGGCUUAGUUUAUGUCCAGGAUGGAGAAAAUCCGGUCCCUUUUCACCUCUCCCCAUUGAAUAUUUCUGUACCUGAGGGACUGUUGGACAACUAUGUAUGCAUGGACUGCGUGCUUAGGAACCAAGAGAAACCAAAGAAAUGUCCUAUGUGCCAGCAAAUCCAAAGAAAAAGUAAUAGAGUUUAUACACCCCAGUGUAUAUUAAAGAACCUUUCCCUUUUGAUGAAAACCUCCUCUUCUUCAUUCCUUGCAACUGAUUGCUCUAAAGGCAAAAAAAGGUAAAUUGCAUGGAACUACCAAUUUCCGGAGUAUUUGUAUGUUACAUAUUAUAAUAUUAAACAUAGUAAAGCUUAACUUAAUGGACCAUUUGUGGGAAGUAGUGUUCAUAUAAGCAAAAUUGUCAUUAACUGAUUUUUUGUUGUUGCAUGAAUUAUGUCAUUUGCACAAUUAUAUAAUAAGUUAUGUCUAUUUAUUUAUUCAAAUGUAUAAAUUACAUCAUUUACAUUUCUAGGCUUAGGAAACAAAGGAGUUUGCAGAUAAAUCCAAAUUAAAAUGUAGUUUAUUACA